rnacentral:rRNA from 1 species
CAAAGAACUUUGAAGAGAGAGUUCAACAGGGCGUGAAACCGAUCAGAAGCAAACGAAUAGAGCUGUUUUGUAGUCGGCAGGAUUCAGCUCGCUAUGCAAGAGGAGCAUUGCAUGUUUUCGCGAGAUAAUGUGUUGUGGAACCUCAGGCUGGUGGGUGCAUUUCCUGUUUGAUGGCGCCACGACCGAUUGUAUGUGCUGGCAAAAGUAUUAUUGGAUGAGGGCCCUUAGCUUGCUUUGGGUAACCAGCCAGUUAAUAUGAGUCCCUGUUGCAGCAAUCGAGUAUAGAACUGCCCCCGAUUGUCGCGGCACAGUUGGACAUUAAGCUUAAGUGGUGUUGCGUUGUUCUGCAUGCAGAGUGCGUAGCGCUGCUGAGUGUCGAACUGUUGCGGAGAUGGGGCACAAUGUUCUGUGGCGUCCGUGUCAGCCGUCUAUUCGACCCGUCUUGAAACACGGACCAAGGAGUCUAACAUGUGCGCGAGUUGUUGAGGAGGAAUCUCGCAGGCGAAAUGAAAGUGAAGGCCGGUCUUGACCGGACUAGGUGUGAUGUGUGACGUGAUUGCGUUGCAUCGCAACACUACCCCGUCUUGUCUGCUUGACAGUAAGGCGGAGAAAAAGCGUACACGUUAGGACCCGAAAGAUGGUGAACUAUGCCUGAGCAGAAUGAAGUCAGAGGAAACUCUGAUGGAAGUCCGUAGCGGUUCUGACGUGCAAAUCGAUCGUCAGACUUGGGUAUAGGGGCGAAAGACUAAUCGAACCGUCUAG